UACGAAGGGGGCUAGCGUUGUUCGGAAUUACUGGGCGUAAAGGGCGCGUAGGCGGCACGGCAAGUCGGGAGUGAAAGCCCGGGGCUCAACCCCGGAGGGUCUCUCGAAACUGCCGAGCUAGAGUGCGGAAGAGGCAAUCGGAAUUCCCAGUGUAGCGGUGAAAUGCGUAGAUAUUGGGAAGAACACCGGAGGCGAAGGCGGAUUGCUGGGCCGACACUGACGCUGAGGCACGAAAGCCAGGGGAGCAAACGGG
rnacentral:rRNA from 1 species